AACACACACUACUGAGACAGAAGCUGUUCAGUCAACUGGGGAAGGCCUUGCUUAUUUCAGCAAGACAAUGCCAAACCACAUUUUGCACAUAUUUCAACAGCAUGGCUCCGUAGUAAAAGAGUCUGGGAGCUAAACUGGCUUGCCUGCAGUCGAUACCUGUCGUCCAUUGUAAACAUUUGGCAUAUUACAAAACAGAAAAUACCCCAAAGGAGACCCCGAACUGCUGAGCAGCUGAAAUCCUAUAUCAAGUACCUACACAGUCCUCUUCAGACACCAAACUCAGGAUGCCGUACAUCACAGAUAUUGAUGUUUCCAUUAAUCCUGAACAGGAGCAAGGCCUAAGAAACCAAAGUUUCAAAAUAAUCAAUGUUAAUCUGAACAAAGGUGCUGGAGGAAAUAAUAUUUACCUCUGGUACAAGAAGGGAAGCAGCAAUCCCAUCACCAGAUUGCAGGUUACAUUCACAGAUGAAAUGCAAAUUGGUUUGAGGAACGCAGGUUACCAUAAGGUGGAUAAAGACCUCAAUGCAGGGGCUGGAGGAGAUAACAUCUUUCUCUGGUGCUACAAAGGUACAACUGAGUAUGACAACCCUAUAGUGGAACUUAAGGUCACCACAGAUGCAACAGAUGAAGCCCAAAUUUACCAGAAAGGCUGGGAACGACUGGCGUGUGACCUGAAUCGCAAUGCUAACGACAACUGGAUCCAUGUUUGGGUGAAGAAAGAGAAGAAAAUGUACAUCUCUGACAUCAAGGCAACUACCUCUUUUGCAUUUGAUAACGAGUAUUUUUCCCAGGGCUACACCCGUGUGGAUGAAAAUGUGAAUCGAGAUGCAGGAGAACGCUCUAUCUUUCUUUGGUAUCGUCAUUCUCUAACACAGUCCCAAAGCAUCAAUCUCCUGGAUGUCUCCACUAACAAUGAGGAAGAGGAAAGCCUUCAGAUACAGGGUUAUACCUGUGUUGGUGUUAAUCUCAAUGAAGGAACAGGAGGCCCCCCGAUAAAUGCCUGGUACAAGAAGGGUUCAGACCAUGCCAUCCAGACCAUCACUGUAAUCAUUCAACAAGAAGUGAGUCCUUAUGAAAAGGCUGGCAUCCAUGUCAUUGGAAAAAAUCUGAAUACAGACAACAAUGGCACCCCCUUGUACCUGGCAUACCAAUGAGAUCAGGGGUUUCAUUUUCUGUAUGCCAGGUGAUCAGUAUACCUGUCAAAUUAGCGUAGCAAUACAUAGCUUAGUACAAGAUAGCACAACAACACAAAUACCAUGUAACAUGUUAAAGCAAACCUGUGGAUCAAGUCAGUUUAACACAGUCUUCAUGCAUUUCUUGCAUUUAAUCUUCUAAACAGAUUGUAUUUGAGAUAUCUAUAUUGUUGUUGUUGUUACUGCUUAUGCCUUUUGUGAUAUGGGUCAACAUGAAUUACUUUGCUAACAAAUAAAAAAAAGUUCCAUAUCAAUAAUCAUUGUCAGUCUUUUUUCUCCUUGCCUGAUCAAUGACAACUCAACAGAUGGAAACAGGGACAGUUCACUUUAUACAGCUCUAAUGUUGCAC
ensembl:lncRNA